rnacentral:rRNA from 1 species
UACGGGGGGGGGCAAGCGUUUGUUCGGAAUUACUGGGCGUAAAGGGCUCGUAGGCGGCCAACUAAGUCAGACGUGAAAUCCCCAGGCUCAACCUGGGAACUGCGUCCGAUACUGGAUGGCUUGAAUCCGGGAGAGGGAUGCAGAAUUCCAGGUGUAGCGGUGAAAUGCGUAGAUAUCGGGAGGAACACCAGUGGCGAAGGCGACUACCUGGCCUGUUCUUGACGCUGAGGCGCGAAAGCUAGGGGAGCAAACGGGG